CUGGGUGGGACAAAGCAAGGCCUAGAACCUUUUAUGCGUAAUGCGAACUAUCGCUAUCUGGGUCAGAAACGAGAAGCAUCGAGCACGUUACAAUACAUUGUAAACAGAUUUCAUCGCUUUAAGAUGAAAGAUGGCUUUCUCAAAGGGGGAAAAAGGUAAAAACGAAGAGUAUCGAACAGGAAGCUAAAAAGAAGGCAGCUAUGAAUAAGUAUACCGACAUAGAAGCUUUGAAUAAAAUACUGGUCAGACUCGGAUAAGGGAAGCGAUUUGGAUAAAGAGGAUUUCGACUCGGCCGAUGAGGUCUACCUUCUAGAAGGAUUGGAUCCACUUUUAGAUCUAGUGGAGGAUGCAGAUGAUUUGGAUGAUGCCGUUUGGAAGCCACCCCUCCCGGUCAAGGUCUUCAUCCCCCACUGCUACGUCUAUCACCCAUCUGAUGGUUCUACAUCCACUUUUCAUAGACUUCUUGAAAAAGAAAAUAGUGGCUUGUGGCACCAUUCGUACUAACAGAAUUGGUUUUCCCAAGACCAAGGUAAAUGACAUGACAAAGACAGUGGAGAGGGGGACCAUACGUUGGAUCAGGACUAACAAGUAUCUUUUUGUAAAAUGGAAGGACACUAGGGAAGUAACCAUGCUCACCACACAGCAUAAGGCAUGCAAUAACAACCAUGUCUCAAGGAGGGUGAAAAAAGAAAAACGUCUCAAUUCCUGUUUCUGUGAAGGACUACAAGGUCAGCAUUGGGGGUGUCGACCUAUCUGAUGCUCUGCUAGGCUACUACCAGGUCCUCCACAAGACCAGGAAGAGGUAUUAGACUUUUUUUACCAUUUUGUGGGCCUUGCUACAGUAAAUUAUGUCAUUUUGUUCAAGCAGAUGGCCAAAGCAGAAGGUCAAGCCCCUCUCUCCCAGUUGCCUUCCGAGAGCAGCUGGUGUUGGAAAUGGCUGAAUUGGGGGACCAAAGCAACCUCACAACCAUCACAAGACACCCCACUCAAGGUGAGCGUAGCGUAGCUAUCCAAAAACAUGCCAAAAGACAAAAUGAAGAACUGCAAGCAUUGCGCAAAACACAGGGGGGAAAUGCCAGAUCUUCUGUCCGAAAUGCCAGUUCGCUUUUUUUCCUGGCAAAGAGGGACUGCUUCAAAGACUAUGAUGACAUGCACAAGCUACGGUGAAAGUGAAACCUAAUCAUCUACACAUGGGAUGUAAAACGAACACAAAUUCCAUUUGUAAAUAGUUAAGCUUAUUUCUAGUUUUGCACCUUUUUUAGUGAAGGACACGUGUGUUACCAAGUUUGUGUUUGAUAAGACAUUUUAUAAUUUUUGACAUACAGUACCAGUCAAGUUUGGACACACCUACUAAUUCCAGGGUUUUUAUUUAUUUUUACUAUUUUCUACAUUGUAGAAUAAUAGUGAAGACAUCAACACAUUGAA